AAGGAAGGAAGGAAGGAAGGAAGGAAGGAAGGAAGGAAGGAAGGAAGGAUCUUCACUCUCCAGCUCCUGCUGUAUUUUCAGGCUAGACUUAUUGCUUUUCUCUCACUUUCUCAAUUCUGAUCUGUUCUGAGCCGACACUUUCUACGAUUUAGUUAGAACUGCAGAGAGAAGCACAGUGGUUUUCUCAUCCUGAACUCAGUUCAAAACAUAGGAUCAUGUCCCAUCUGCUCUUCUCCAUGCCCAGCACCCUCCUUCUCUGUUUUUAUGGGCCAGCAAUUUCAGUGACCUUUUCAAUUUUCCUUGUCUGGCUACCUUAGAGUUACAAUUUUUGCCUCUGGUAAGCUGGUCUUUAUGCUCUGAGGAGCUGGACAUUCUAGAGGCAAAUUCCUCUCUGGAAAACAAGAACCACUGUGGGGGUAUGAGCUGGAUCAUGCCUUUUCCCGCCAGGAACUUUAAGGAGGCAGCUAAGCCAAAAACAAAGGGAUAUCAAAGCAUAUUUGGAGCAGAAAAAAAUAAAAAGUUAUGUUCUUGAAGAGGUGUCUUACACACACUGCCUUUUACAGUAGGAACCAACAAGAUUUAUGACUCACCAGACCACAUGAAUCAUUCCUAACAGCACCUGUUAAGCCUAGAACCAUAGGCAAAGACUUAUGUUUUAAUCCAAACUACAGAAAUUCUGAUACAAGAUCUGCUUCCCAUGUGAUUGUAGCUUUUAUGAAUUAUGCCAGAUUUGCAAACUUUGAGACUGAAAUAAUUUCACUGAAUGACAUCUUAAGAGUCAUUUCCCCUCAAUUCCACCAGAAUUUCUCAAAACUAGUUUGAUGAACAAAACUAGUUUAAGAAGUAAAUGACACCUUAUGAAAAGGAUGCAUGGACUUACUGGAGCUUUAAUGGACAUGACAAUUAUUUUAUUCAGAUAACUAAAUAGCUACCAGCUUGUUCAAGUACCAACCUGAACUGGACGUAAUUCAGCAACUGCAAGGAGAUCAAUGGAAUUCUGUCAUAUUACUAAAAGAGUAUGGCUCUGAGGCUGUGAGAGGUGAGAUGGCCAUUGGCUUGUGCCAUGGCAAAUCCAUACUGAACUCAACCCAGUGACCAGGAGGCAAGGUGUCAGUGGCUGAAGGGCAGAAUGUCUUACUGAUAUUAUUAUAGACAAAGAAUAAGAUGAAGAAGCUGGUCAGGACAGCCCAACAGAAACACUUACAGAUAAGAUUUGAUCUCCU